GACGAACGCUGGCGGCGUGCUUAACACAUGCAAGUCGAGCGGUAAGGCCCUUUCGGGGGUACACGAGCGGCGAACGGGUGAGUAACACGUGGGUGACCUGCCCUUAGCUCUGGGAUAAGCCUGGGAAACUGGGUCUAAUACCGGAUAUGACUCCAUAACGCAUGUUGUGGGGUGGAAAGCCUUGUGCGGCUAGGGAUGGGCCCGCGGCCUAUCAGCUUGUUGGGUGGGGUGAUGGCCACCAAGGCGACGACGGGUAGCCGGCCUGAGAGGGCGACCGGCCACACUGGGACUGAGACACGGCCCAGACUCCUACGGGAGGCAGCAGUGGGGAAUCUUGCGCAAUGGGCGAAAGCCUGACGCAGCGACGCCGCGU
rnacentral:rRNA from 1 species